CUCCUGUCCCAUCUGAAAACAGAGAGGUGGGGGUUACAGAGCAGCCUGCAGUGAUUGGAUGAAGAGACCCAGCACAGCAGACUCAGGGAAGAAGUUAAUGCAUGGAACGGAAGGGAUGUGACUUGAAAAAAAUGUUGUGGUCAUCCAUGAGUGAGAAGACAGGAGAAAGAAAAAUACAGGUGCGCACCUCGUGCAGCAGUUGUGUUCCACCAUUAGGUCUUCAGGAUAAUAGGUGCUGAAUGUCAAGGUGAUGUUUCCAAUGACAACAUUAAAGGUGACUAAACAGAAGGUUGAACGGACCCCAUUUUAC